AUGGAUUUUGUUUCAGGUUUGCCGAGGACCCCGAGUAACUAUGAGGCUAUUUGGGUUAUAGUGGAUAGAUUGACAAAAUCUGCUCACUUUAUUCCAAUUAGAAUGGAUUACUCGAUGGAGAAGCUUGCAAAGUUGUAUGUGGAGCGGAUUGUAUGUUUGCAUGGUAUUCCGACGUGCAUUGUUUCAGAUAGAGACCCGCGGUUCAUAUCUAGAUUUUGGGAGGGUUUGCAACGAGCUUUGGGUACUAAGUUACGUUUGAGUUCCGCUUAUCAUCCAUAG